CUUACCGAUGGCGACCGGCGCACGGGUGAGUAACACGUAUGCAACCUGCCCCUGUCAGGGGGACAACCCGCCGAAAGGCGGGCUAAACCCGCGUACAUGCCACCGGGGCAUCCCGGAGGCAGGAAAGGCUUCGGCCGGACAGGGAUGGGCAUGCGGCGCAUUAGGCAGUAGGCGGGGUAACGGCCCACCUAACCGACGAUGCGUAGGGGUUCUGAGAGGAAGGUCCCCCACACUGGUACUGAGACACGGACCAGACUCCUACGGAAGGCAGCAG
rnacentral:rRNA from 1 species